rnacentral:rRNA from 1 species
UGGGGAAUAUUGCACAAUGGGCGAAAGCCUGAUGCAGCAACGCCGCGUGAGUGAUGAAGGUCUUCGGAUUGUAAAGCUCUGUCUUUUGGGACGAUAAUGACGGUACCAAAGGAGGAAGCCACGGCUAACUACGUGCCAGCAGCCGCGGUAAUACGUAGGUGGCGAGCGUUGUCCGGAUUUACUGGGCGUAAAGGGUGCGUAGGCGGAUGUUUAAGUGAGAUGUGAAAUACCCGGGCUUAACUUGGGUGCUGCAUUUCAAACUGGAUAUCUAGAGUGCAGGAGAGGAGAAUGGAAUUCCUAGUGUAGCGGUGAAAUGCGUAGAGAUUAGGAAGAACACCAGUGGCGAAGGCGAUUCUCUGGACUGUAACUGACGCUGAGGCACGAAAGGCGUGGGUAGCAAACAGGAUUAGAUACCCUGGUAGUCCACGCCGUAAACGAUGAGUACUAGGUGUAGGAGGUAUCGACCCCUUCUGUGCCGCAGUAAACACAUUAAGUACUCCGCCUGGGAAGUACGAUCGCAAGA